rnacentral:rRNA from 1 species
GUAGGUGGCAAGCGUUGUCCGGAAUUAUUGGGCGUAAAGCGCGCGCAGGCGGUUCUUUAAGUCUGAUGUGAAAGCCCACGGCUCAACCGUGGAGGGUCAUUGGAAACUGGAGAACUUGAGUACAGAAGAGGAAAGCGGAAUUCCACGUGUAGCGGUGAAAUGCGUAGAGAUGUGGAGGAACACCAGUGGCGAAGGCGGCUUUCUGGUCUGUAACUGACGCUGAGGCGCGAAAGCGUGGGGAGCAAACAGGAUUAGAUACCCUGGUAGUCCACGCCGUAAACGAUGAGUGCUAAGUGUUAGGGGGUUUCCGCCCCCCUUAGUGCUGCAGCUAACGCAUUAAGCACUCCGCCCCGGGGAUACGGCCGCAAGGCUG